GAUAUCAGGCCCGGAACUUGAAAUGGUGCCCUAGCAAAACAUAUAACCCUCCCGCCCCACAAACUCGCCUAUGCGAUACAGCUGACCUGUAUAUAUAAUGAUCACCACAUAAACCCUAAUCUAUAUCUUCAAACCCAUUCGGAUCUUUAGAACUUUCAGAAAUCGUUCAUCUCUCUUUUGUGCAUUCGUUACGUUUCUUAUUCUGUUCUCCUAUUUUUCGUUACAUGCCGAUCUUAUUUCGUUGCCAGCGACCGGUAUUAAAAAACUUUGAUGCUUGGGGCCAUGAAAUCAACCAAAUCUUUAGGCAUACAAUCUUGUUUUAGAACAAUAUACUUUGAAUGUGUUGGUGUAGAAAAUGGGGAAGAUAUAAUACCAUGGACUUAAGGUUGAACACAAUUGUCUUUGCAUCAGCAUCGAGUUUUGCUGCGUUUCAUACUAUUAACCAAAUCUUCCAAAGCCAGCGGAAUAUAAGGCCUUUCUACUCAUCUUCGCUGGAUUGUGCCUCCAAUAUUUCAUAUAGGGAAAAUAUAGGGAAAAUGAGUCUUGAGGCAAUUAACUUUUGUGUUUUGUUUUUUUAUUCUUUGAUAGUGGAUCAAAAGGUUAUGGUGAACACAAACAACAAGUUUGAUAGUAUAGUGAGUACAAAAAAUAGACAAAGACUAAAUGAGAACGAACUCAAUAGUUGGUUAUUAACAGUUGGUUACCUUCCUGAGCAUUUUUUCUGAAAAGUUAAAUGAAAUAAAAGUUGCAAAAUUAUCAAA